rnacentral:lncRNA from 1 species
UUUUUUUUGUUUGUUUUUUGAGACGGAGUGUCGCUCUUGUUGCUCAGGCUGGAGUGCAAUGGUGUGAUCUUGGCUCGCUGCAACCUCCACCUCCUGAGUUCAAGUGAUUCUCCUGCCUCAGCCUCCUGAGUAGUUGGGAUUACAGGCGCCUACCACCACACCCAGUUAAUUUUUUAUAUUUUCAGUAGAGACAGGGAUUCACCAUGUUGGCCAGGCUGGUCUCGAACUCCUCACCUCAGCUGAUCUGCCUGCCUCAGCCUCCCAAAGUGCUGGGAUUACAGGCGUGAGCCACCACGCCCAGCCAAUGACCUACUUUAUGAAUACAGUUCAUCUGCUCAUAACUGUUGUACCUGUGCAACUGUCAUUAGUAUACCUGAGUAUGCUUAUAAAAAUGUUACUAUUGCCUAUUUUAUUGUUUAAAGUGACUUAUGAAGCAUUCUGUUGUGUGUUUAUGUUUUUUGAAUAAAUCCUCCUUUUUUUUUUUGAGAGUUUUUCUUGUGAAACUCAUAUCCAUGAGAAAAGGGAAACAAUGAGCCCUGUGAUUGCAUUAUCCUGCUGCUAUAGGCAGUUUCCAGGCUGUAGAGCACAGGAGGAAGAAUCAAAACUGAGUCCAGCAGUUUCCCUGAGUUAAGGGGAGAAAGACUAGUAUUCUCAGAGGCCGAAAAGGCUGUAAUUUGCAGGACAGAGUAUUGGAGAGACAAAUCUCAGAGACUGAGCCCUGGAGAUGUGUAGAGGGAACUCAUGAAGUUGCUGGCUGAGUACUAAUCUGUGCAUGCAUGGGGAGAAAGUCCACCAGAGUGGAGAAAAAACUACUGGAGAGGAGCAGGCCAAACAAUUCCCAAAGCUCAUAUAAGCUUGCAAUUGCUUUCCCAUCAAGCAGUGAAGAGGGAAUUGGGUAGAAUGGUUGGAAGGUUAUCAUGUAAGCAGUGAGGCUAAAUUAGCCUUAGCCUACGAUUAUUCCAGACCAUCCUAUCAAACCUAGAAGGAUUUAAACUGACAAGUAAUUUAACUGCACACCAGAACAAAGUCCAAGACUAUGUAAAAAAAUACAACAAAAUCCAAAACUCUAUAAAAAUUACCGAGCAAGGAGUUAGGAAAAUAUGAUCUAUAAUCAGGAGAAAUAUUAGAAACAGAGAAAGAUGACAAAUAUGAUGGAAUUAGAAGAUAAAUACCUUAAGACUGCUAUAAAACAUCUUACAAAUUGUCUGGGCAAGGUGCUGUAAUCCCAGACCCAAUUAUAACUUUUAAAAAUCUUCCGAACUUACUCAAGAAUAUAGAGGAUUUUUUAAAAGACCCAAAUGCAAUUUUUAGAUAUAAACUACACAGAAUCUGAAAUUAUACACUAUCCUACUUGAUAAAAUUACCAGAAAAUUAGAGAUUGCAAAAGAACAGGUAAGUGAACUUAAAGCCACAGCAACAGAAACUGUAAAAAAGGAAGCAGGGAAAGCAAAAUGCUGGAAAAAAGAAAAAGAAAGAAUACAGCUUCAGUGACCUGUGAAGGAACAGUUUAAAACACAUGAAAUUGUAAUUUCUUCUUUUUUUUUUUUUGAGAUGGAGUAUCACUCUCACCCAGGCUGGAGUGCAGUGGCGUGAUCUCAGCUCACUGCAAGCUCCACCUCCCGGGUUCACACUAUUCUCCUGCCUCAGCCUCCCGAGUAGCUGGGACGCCUGCCACCAUGCCCAGUUAAUUUUUUUGUAUUUUUAGUAGAGACAGGGUUUCACUGUGUUAGCCAGGAUGAUCUUGAUCUCCUGACCUCGUGAUCCGCCAGCUUCGGCCUCCCAAAGUGCUGGGGUUAUAGGCGUGAGCCAUCCCACCCAGCCUGAAAUUGGAAUUUCAAAAGAAGAGAAUGGAAGUGGGGAAGGGAGAGGAAAAACAUUCUAAAAAUAAUGCUGAAGAUCUUCCAAAUAUAAUGAAAACUACAAACCCAUGGAUUCAAGCUCAAUGACCUCAAAGCAGAAGAAAUAUAAAGAAAAAAGCAUGUUAAAGCAUAUCAUUUUUAAAUUGCUCAAAACUAGGGAAAAAGAGAAAUUUUUAAAACCAGCCAGAAUAAACAAUACAUAUUAAGUACUGGGGAUCACAAAUAAGAAUUUCAGCAGAUUUUUGCCAAAAACUAUGCAAGCCAGAAGGCAAUGGUACAACAUAGUACUAAUGCCAAAAGUGGCUGGGCACAGUGGUUUACAACCGUAAUCCCAACACUUUGGGAGGCUGAGGCGGGCAGAUUACUUGAGGUUCGGAGUUUGAGACCUGCCUGGCCAACAUGGUGAAACCCUAUGUCUACUAAAAUUACAAAAAAAUUAGUCUGGCAUGUUCGUGCUCGCCUGUAGUCCCAGCUACUUGGGAGGCUGAGGCAGGAGAACUGCUUGAACCCAGGAGGUGGAGGUUGCAGUGAGCCAAGAUCAGGCCACUGCAUGCCAUCCUGGGGAAAAACACAAAACUAUCAACCUAGAAUUCUGAAUUCUGUAUCUCUUCGUUUUUGGAAUUCUGUAUCUCAUGAAAAUAUUUUUCCAAAAAUUAAUUCAAAAUAUUUUUCAAAUAAAAGAGCUAAGGAAAUGUUAUCACCAGCAGAUCUGUAGUAGAAAAAAUGUGAAAAGAGGCUCUUUAGGUAGGAGAACCAUAUUAGGUUUUAUAAUUUCAAAACCAUAUUAGGACAUUCUAUAUCAUAUAUUGGAACAUUAUACAAAAAUAAUAAUGAUGAAUUGUGUGUCUUAGGACAUAUGUAGAUAUAAAUGCAUGACGAAGGCAGGGCGGGGAAAAGUGGAAACAUACUGUUGCAAGGUUCUGAUGCUAUACUUGAACUAGUGUAGUAUUAUUUUAAGGUGAAGCAACCACUAAAAAAGAUACAGUUUUUAAAAAUCAACAUGUACC